AUUGAACGCUGGCGGCAUGCCUUACACAUGCAAGUCGAACGGCAGCACGGGUGCUUGCACCUGGUGGCGAGUGGCGAACGGGUGAGUAAUGCAUCGGAACGUACCCGGAAGUGGGGGAUAACGUAGCGAAAGUUACGCUAAUACCGCAUAUUCUGUGAGCAGGAAAGAGGGGGAUCGCAAGACCUCUCGCUUUCGGAGCGGCCGAUGUCGGAUUAGCUAGUUGGCGGGGUAAGAGCCCACCAAGGCGACGAUCCGUAGCGGGUCUGAGAGGAUGAUCCGCCACACUGGGACUGAGACACGGCCCAGACUCCUACGGGAGGCAGCAGUGGGGAAUUUUGGACAAUGGGCGCAAGCCUGAUCCAGCCAUGCCGCGUGAGUGAAGAAGGCCUUCGGGUUGUAAAGCUCUUUCGGCUGGGAAGAAUUCGCAUCUCCUAAUACGGAACGGGGAUGAGAGUACCUGAAGAAUAAGGACCGGCUAACUACGUGCCAGCCGCCGCGGUAACAC
rnacentral:rRNA from 1 species